AUUGAACGCUGGCGGCAGGCCUAACACAUGCAAGUCGAGCGGAUGAAGGGAGCUUGCUCCUGGAUUCAGCGGCGGACGGGUGAGUAAUGCCUAGGAAUCUGCCUGGUAGUGGGGGAUAACGUCCGGAAACGGGCGCUAAUACCGCAUACGUCCUGAGGGAGAAAGUGGGGGAUCUUCGGACCUCACGCUAUCAGAUGAGCCUAGGUCGGAUUAGCUAGUUGGUGGGGUAAAGGCCUACCAAGGCGACGAUCCGUAACUGGUCUGAGAGGAUGAUCAGUCACACUGGAAGUGAGACACGGUCCAGACCCCUCCGGGGGGCGGCAGGGGGAAUUUUGGGACAAGGGGCGAAAGCUGGACCACGCCAGGCGGGGGGUGUAAAGAGGUUUUUCGAAUGGAAAAGCAUUUUAAGUUGGGAGAAAGGAAAGUAAGUUAAUCCCUUCGUGUUUGCACGUGCACAAAAAAAAAAGCCCCGACAAACUCCGUC
rnacentral:rRNA from 1 species